rnacentral:rRNA from 1 species
AUUGAACGCUGGCGGCAGGCCUAACACAUGCAAGUCGAGCGGAUGAAGGGAGCUUGCUCCUGGAUUCAGCGGCGGACGGGUGAGUAAUGCCUAGGAAUCUGCCUGGUAGUGGGGGAUAACGUCCUGAAACGGGCGCUAAUACCGCAUACGUCCUGCGGGAGAAAGUGGGGGAUCUUCGGACCUCACGCUAUCAGAUGAGCCUAGGUCGGAUUAGCUAGUUGGUGGGGUAAAGGCCUACCAAGGCGACGAUCCGUAACUGGUCUGAGAGGAUGAUCAGUCACACUGGAACUGAGACACGGUCCAGACUACUACGGGAGGCAGCAGUGGGGAAUAUUGGACAGUAGGCGAAAGCCUGAUCCAGCCAUGCCGCGUGUGUGAAGAAGGUCUUCGGAUUGUAAAGCACUUUAAGUUGGGAGGAAGGGCAGUAAGUUAAUACCUUGCUGUUUUGACGUUACCAACAGAAUAAGCACCGGCUAACUUCGUG